rnacentral:misc_RNA from 1 species
CAACCAUGGGCAUCCCUGACUUUGUCAAGUUUAUUGCGCGUUCCUCGCCUAGUGCGCUGUGUCGUGUGCCGAAAGGCAGCUCGAGGCACGAGCCGCUCAUCUUCGACUUCAUCUUGAUUGACGCCACGAACGCGGCGCAGACACUUGGGCUUGACAACUUGCGCGCGUUUCUCAAUCCCGACCAUGUCGUGGCGAGGUCAGCUGUCAUUUUCGCGCUAGACUCCCAGCGCGACCGCAGCGGCACGGCCCGCGCCCACCGCCACGCUCUUGUGGGGAUCGGUGACCUCGAUGUGCAUGUGCAGAAGCUGUGCGGGCAGUUGGCGGACGCGUACCGUGCGCAGCAAGGGAACAACAACGGGUUGGGUACCGGCUCUAGGGCCAACCCGUACGUGCUGACGAGCGGACGCGGUGUGGCGGGAGAGGCGGACUACAAGCUUCUUGACCUGCAGCGUUGCUUGGUGACGUGUGCCAUUGCCAGCGGAGCCACUGUCCUUCCUACCUUUCUCUUUAUCUCGGAGGACUCUGAUGUGCUGUGCGGCGUGCUCUGCGGCCCAGCACCCCAGCAGGUUUCCAUUGCCACAAAGUUGCAGGACGUCCUCUUCGAGCCUUCGAUUUUGCGCCUCGAUCGCGUCCUAGCGUUUGUGGCCACCUGCACCGACGCCUUCUACGCCGCGAGCGAGGAGGAGGAGGAGGCGGCGGCAGCUGCCGCCGCCAAGAUGAAGGCGAUGGCGGAAAGAAACGCUGCAGAGCCCAAUAGGGCAAACUCCUUUGCCACUGCGCCGGCAACAAAACGUGCGGGGAAGCAACACAGUGACGAGGAGGUAGAACUUUCCGUUAAGGACACGGCGGUCGCCACGGCGACGGCGACGGCUGCUCGAGACGACGGUGUGGUGCGUCGCCGCAAGCAGGACGGCCCAAUGGUGGCCACCGGCGUGCGCAUCGAAUUGGCGGACAGCAGCGAUGACGAUCAGCCAGAGCAUGUGGAGACGAAGCCGACGAAGGUGCCCACGGCGACUGCAGGCGCAACCGCUAAGGCACCUGUGUCAGAGAUGGAGGAGGUGCCCAUUGAUGAUGGCAAGUACGUCAAGGAAGCCAGCGCUGCUCCGACGGAGGGCGAGCUGCUCGUUUCCUCCAUCACGCACACGAGCUGCGUUGACAUGGUGUUUCUCUUUAUGAUUGUCAUGGGCAACGCCGUCAAUGUGCCGUCGCUGGUACGCGGCGCCACAAAGGUGGAUUCCGGGUCGUGCUGGCAGGCGUACUGCAAGCACAAGUACAAGAAUUUGUCUACCGCGGAUGCCGAGACAGGCCGCGCACUACUCACCCCCUCAAUCAGCACGCACUCGACGAACCGAGGCAGCCUUGUACUAAACUGCCAAUUCCUCCACUCCAUCUUGGACGCUGUGCAUUACGCUGACGCGGAGCCGCGACCGCCCGUCGAGGAGGAGAAGAGCAGCGCCAUCACCUACCUCUCCAAUGCCGUCUACGCGACGCUCCGCUACAUUGUCGGGUGUAAUCUUGACAAGACGCCGACUUUGAAGCAAACGUUUCUCGACUCACGGCCACUGUCCGAGACUGCCAUCAUGCUCCCUAGUCUCUCUGCGGUGAUGUGGGUGCUCGGCCAGGAGGCGACGCGCACGUUCUCGUUCCCCCUGCACGGCCUCGCCAAAAAGGAGCUCUUAGUGGCCGCAUCGGGUGGCGCGUCGGCUACCAACGAUGCCGCCAACGCCUCGUCAAGGCUUGAAGCCAACCACGCCACCUUCGCGCGUGACGCGUCGUCCUCCACAAGCGAGCUUGACGUUGGCGAGCAUCUGGUGGCGCCUGCGGCUUCGAAGGCUUGGGCUGUGCGUGGUGCGCGCACGAGCAACGUGUCCCUUGCAGCUCUGAUGCAAAAGUUCACUAGUGGCGUUGACGGAGCGUCCUCGGCUGCGCGCAGCGGUCACUACACCGCUGCAGGCAUGCGGUCCGCGCACCUCCCCAGCGUCAGAGAGAUGCUGAAGAAAGCCCUGCAGAUGGUGUCACCAGCCAGCUUAGCAAAGGCCAACCUGCUCUUCUACCUGAUGACUGUCUGGGCAUACGCCCUCGGACUCGGUGUGCGCCGCAUGGCGACGCUCACCAAGGCAGCCGCGUCAGUGGCGAAAGCCGAAGUAGGGGAGUCGGCGUUCAGUUCGGCGCAUCCGCCUUCCUCGGCUGGGGCCGCGAAGGCCUCAAGAGCGACGCCGGGUACAACCCCAGUUGGCGGACACUACGUAUACAGCUUCGAGUUGCGUCGCAUGGCGCCCGUUCUACAGGCUGCGACUUCGCAACCACCGUCCUCCAUCACAGCCGCAUCUGGGCCCUCCGCGAUACCUGGAAGGGUAGACAGCACAGCGUCCUCGUCGAGCGAGAAAUCAGCGGCGCAGCAGGCCAUCUUUGCGGCGCUCGGGGUGUCGUAUGACUACUCACAGACGCCGCGUGGCCCGGCAAACGUUGUGAAUCUGCCGCGCUGUGCAGUGGACGAGGAGGACAUUGCAGAGCUGCAGCGGCUCAGGAAGGUGGCAAAGAAGGAGCGCACUUUUUCUGCGUUGGUGGUCGACGCCGUCCCCGGCAAGAAGCGCAGUGCCAACGUGGAUGACAACGACGGCACGUUGUCGGACAACGACGACGGCAACAUUGGUCGGACAAGGUCAAGGAAAAGGGCCGAAGACACGAAAAACGGCACCUCCAAGGCAAAGAAACGUCGCGGCAAACGCGAGCGUCUAAAACAGCAAAAGGCAACCGCGAAGGCGGCAGCUGCCGAAGCGGACGGAGGCUCGCCGAGGCACGUGGGGCGUGCCGCGCGAUUCAAUGCGCCUGCAACGGCUGAGACUUCGUGAAGCAGAGCAGCGGCUCGCACCACUCCAAGAGGCAUGCGUGUCGCGUCUUGCUUUGUGUUUUAACUACACGUUAAUGGCGAUCGUUUAACGCGGAAACGGACAGGAAAACACAAGAUGUCCUCUCUCCCAUUGCAAGGUGAAGAGGGCGACGACUGUUUGUGGCCCAGAUGUGAGAUCUUGGUGGCAUGCGUUCCACGCCGCCCCUUGACGCAGGGGUGGCUGAGCGUGUGCGUGUGGCUUGGUGACGAAAGUCUUCUCUGUUUUUUUGGCAUUGCAGAGAGAAGACAUGCACCGGGGCGCGUGACCGUUGUCAUUGCUUGCGCCGCAACUGUUACCUUCCACAUGUGCUCAUUCAACGUCGGCAGAGCAGAUGUGUGGAGAGGGGAACUAAGGUCGCACUCACCCGAAUGCCCUUUUGCUGCGGUCGUCGCACCACCGGGGCGCUCUCCACUUUCUCGACUCUCGCUUUGUGGACUGUGUUUCGGGCUGCUGCCCUACCGACGAUGUCCGUUGUGAAACAGUCUUCAUACCGCCCCUCCCUAUUUUUUUUUCCAGCUGCGUGCCGACUCUCCAUGAGGACGGGGCGACACCUCAGUGCGUGGUGUCGCAGGGUCCAGCGCCCCCACGCAUUGCGUGCGGAAAAAGCCAAGCAGCCCCUCGCCCCUAUCCCCCGCCACUGCGGAGCCGCCUCUGGUGGUGGCCGAGCCAAGCGCCUACGGCGUAGCGGAGCCACAGCAAUGCAUCCCCGCUGAUGCCGGGCGGCCAUGUCCUGGUGAGCGUGGCGUCGCCGCGCCCUGCGGUCAGCGAACGCGUCCGUGCCGUUCAUGCGAUGGGCGGAGUGUGGAGGUGGCUCGAAAGGCAUCGCGCCCCCGCCCUCACACUGCCCACUGGUGUGGGGGUGCCCGAGCCCGGCCCCGUGGCGGGUGCACCGGGUGGCGACCGGCGCAACGGCCGCUGCUGUGUGAGUGUGUGUGUGUGUGAGCACUGUUCGACGCAGCGGCGGUGCCCGGGUGACUGGGUCGGCGCACGGCUGCAGGGCUUGCCCUACCGCUGCAUCUCCCCAUGCGCUGUGCCUGUGACCGGCCGAGGGCGGGAGUUGAGUG